UGAAAAAAUAUAGAAAGUGCAUACAUUCCUAAUUUUUCUCUAGUGAUUAUUUGCUAAAGUGAAAUACCUUCAAGUUUCAAUUUCUUUGCUUCUGCGGUGGAAAUUGUAACGAUCUUGAAUUUUGAAGGAAAAAAUCAAUUAACACUAAAAUUUGGUCAUUUUUCUAACAAAUUGCGUCAUAAAAAUAAUAUAUUGACAAUUUGGAUAAAUCGUCUUCAUUUUUCUUUGUUUAAUUUUAUCGACAAGUCGUCGUAUUGACAAAACGACAUUCACAUAUAUGUAUGUAUUUCUAUGUGCAUUAUUGCAUUGAAUGGAUGUGGCUGUUAAUCCAAUGGAGGCAUAUCUUGCUACCCAAAGGAGGCGCCCUGCUAUCUAUUGGAGCUGUCUUACUCCCAAUUGUAUUUUUUUUUCUAUUCGUCAGAAAAAAAAACAUAUAUUUGCCAGCUGUUUGAAAGGACAUUAUAUACAGGAAUACUGGGUUGGUUUAUUAGAAUGGUCGGGGUUUUCUAUUUUGUUAGAUGUUAUGCUCUUAUAACACCUGCUGCUGGAUCGGAUCAAUAACCCUAAAUAUUUCAUAAUGAGCUAAUUAGUAUAACCAGUAUACAAGCACAAGCAGAACUUAAAAUAUGGAUUGAUAAGUUCAAAGUUUCGUAUCAAGGCCAAACAUUUAUGGAAGCAAGUUGUAUCUGUGAAUAAUGAAAAAAAAUAAAUAGUAUGCGGUCCUUUAUUCCUGAUAUGUGCUUAGAAUACUUGAAUUGUUUAUUUCCUAUCAUAAUUAUAGUUUAUAUUGUCAAUACAGAAUUCACAUACAUAUACACGAUAUUUGUAGCACUUUAUGGGUAUUAGUCAUCAAAAAUUGACUGAUUUCAUUAAGGGGAUUUUUUUUGAAGAAUAAUAUUCUUCUUCAUUAUGGUUAGUAUUUUGUUUUGCUUCUAUUUGUAUUCAAACAAAGAAAAUACAAGCACAUACGACGUAUAAUAGAAUUUCAAUUUCAUUUGAGUUUUAGAAUACCUGCUCUGCAACCACUACAAGCAACCAAUGUCAUUCGUCGUACGAUCUAUGUAUGUGCGCAAUAGCUAAAAUGGGCAAAAAUAACAAACAAAACAGCAAAAUAACAAAAUAACAAAAUAGCAAAAUAAAAUGCGUAAACAAAUAAGAACAAGAGUCGUCACUGUAUUACGCUUGUCGGUGGGCCAAGUAUGGAGACCUACAUAUUCUAUAUUAAUCAAUAUAUAGUGCUAUGACGUUUAAUUUGAGACAUUUUGGAAAAUGACUUGAAGACCUUUAUCAUAUUCUCUUCUAAAGCAGUCAAAUAGGCUCAUAACACUGUAUCCAGAGUAAUAUUUGACUUGUUUAAAGUCAUGGCAAGUUCAUUGCAAUAAUUUUUGUUUGCUAACAUUCUUUGUCUAGAAUAUCAAUUAGAAGAGAAUAUUUUUUGUUUAUGUAUGGACGUAUAUACAUACAUACCUACCUACCUAUAUAGUAUGAAUGCUGAUAAUGGCCACUUGCAAUAAAAGUCUAGAUGGUCUACCAGAAUUGUGCAGACCUUUACUGUACACAUGACAUAUGUACGUACAUAGGUAAUUCAUAUACAUUUGUUUGAUUUUGUUGUUAUUAAUUUAAGCUUGAGGGCUGAAUUAAUAACAACUAAAUUAAAUAAAUAAGGCCGAGAAAAACCUAAUCAAAAUAUUUUUUUUUUAAUUUUCAUUUUCUUUAAUAUUUCAAUAUUUUUCUAUACAAAAUCGUUACAUGUAUACCACAACUAUUUUUGGCCAAGCGACAAAUUUUUAAAAAUAUGGUAUUAGAAAUGACCUAAGGCGCUAUUACACGGCAUAUAGAUGUCUUAUGACAUGUCAAUUUUUAUUAUUCACAUGUAAUUGAAAUUGUUUGUCAAAAUUGUCAAUUUACAUACGAUUCAUCAUUUUUGCUAUAACACCUGUAUGUUAUUUUCCUACGGCAUAAAUUUGAGUAAAAACUGGGUUUUUGAUGCGCAAAAAUUGUUAAAGUGGCGAGAAAGCUGGCUAAAUCAUAAA